rnacentral:lncRNA from 1 species
CUGCACCGCUGGGGCUGCGGCUCCAGCCGCCUGCUCUGGGCUGGUGGGGGGCAGUGUGGCCCAGCCCCCACUGCCAGGAGGGCCACGGGGAGCCUUGGGUGUUGGGUCUGAGGCGAGGAUGAGGAGCUCUGGGGCCAACAGGGUCCUCCUCGCUUAGAAGAUCGGAUGGAAAAAAAAGAUCAAAACGAAGUGUCUGCGUCCCCGCGGUGGGACAAGUGGACAGAGUGGGCUGGGGACAGGCCACCCCACGUGCCCGCUGGACACCAAGCACCCCCAGCCCCCAGGGCCUCUGCCCUUCCUGCUCACAGGGCCCUCCCCUCGCCUCCCGCGUCCCCAGCCCCCGUGGCCCUGUCAGCCCCGUCCUGGGCCCUCCUGCCCCUAGUGACCUGCUGCCCACAGGGCCCCCUGGGCACAGCGUGGCCGGGGCCUACAGAGGCAGAGGGUCGGGUGGCCCAGAGGCGAGCCUGAGCCUCUGGGUGUGCUUGCGGGGGGGGAGGGGCUUCGGGCAGCUGGGGGGAAGGGGCUGCCCCCUGGCCCCAGAGGCUCAGGAGAACCAUGGCGGCUCCACCCACCACUGCCGGGCAGUUGGCCCCCUCCCCAGGAGGAAACGGGGGCAGGGGCGGGUUUGAUGGGUGCUGCGGGGUGCAACCCGAUCGGGAGGCUAUCGCGGCGGGCUCCCUCCCAGGACACCCGGCCAGCCGCCCCGAGGCAUCUCCGGGGCAUAAAGGCCGGGAGGCUCAGGCCACCCCAGCUCUCCUGCUCCGUCCUGUGCCGCCGCCGCCGCCGCCGCCGCCCUCCGCCAUGCUGCAGGCUCUGCUGACCGGCUCGCUCCUCGGCCUGCUCUGCGCGGCCCCAGGCCAGGCCGAGGUCCCCGUCCAGCCCGACUUCGACGCCAGCCAGUUCCAGGGCGCCUGGUACGUGGUCGGGAUGGCCUCGGACGACCAGACCUUCCUGGACUCCAGGGACAACCUGAAGAUGCCCGUGGUCUUCGUGACCCCCUUGGACAACGGCGACCUGUCCUUAAAAUUUGGGUACCCCACGUAAGUGACCCACGAGCGCCUCCCCUCCUGGGCCAGAGGUCAGCCGGGAGGAAGGGGCCCACAGCUCAGAACAGGC